AAGUCGUAACAAGGUUUCCGUAGGUGAACCUGCGGAAGGAUCAUUACCAAAAAAUCCAAUACCAACCCCUUUGUGUGAACUCUUUGAAUGUAUUUUGGGGUAAGUUCUUCUUACCCCACUUGUAUGCAAAUACAAGUAAAUCUUAAUUUUUUUUUUAUUAAACCCUUUAAAAAAAUUUUAUAUUUAUUUUUUUUUAAUAACAAAAACAAAAUUUAAAAGUUUAAAACAACUUUUAACGGUGGAUCUCUUGGCUCGU
rnacentral:misc_RNA from 1 species